UACGAAGGGGGCUAGCGUUGUUCGGAAUCAAUGGGCGUAAAGCGCACGUAGGCGGAUUGUUAAGUCGGGGGUGAAAUCCUGAGGCUCAACCUCAGAACUGCCUUCGAUACUGGCAAUCUCGAGUCCGGAAGAGGUUGGUGGAACAGCUAGUGUAGAGGUGAAAUUCGUAGAUAUUAGCUAGAACACCAGUGGCGAAGGCGGCCAACUGGUCCGGUACUGGACGCUGAGGUGCGAAAG
rnacentral:rRNA from 1 species